CGCAGCAACUGGGGUCCCUAGGGUGGUGCAGCACUGUUGUGGCUGAGGCCCCAGCAGGUAGUGCACUGCAGUGGGAGGUCCCAGGGUUGAUAGGACAUAGUGGCAACUGGGGCCACUUUCCUAACCUCUCAACUGAUAGGUUAGAAAAAGAAGGGAUUGAAAUUUAUUUGCAGGGAAAUAAUGAGUCUUAAUAAAUUGUUCAUUUUAAAUCACUUUGGUAUCACCUCAUUAAAGACAUUUCUGUUACUUACACUCCAUUCUUUGCCUAUUGGGUUAUUUUCGGGAGUAGAAAUCCCAUUAUUACUUAAUGCCGUAGUUCAGACUCCUCCUGAGCUGGGCACAUCCCCGAGUCCCGUGAGAAGCUCUGUCUCUAGCGAUGCCUUGACACUUGUUCCUGCACCUUUCCAUACCCGCUCCCUGCUGAGUGUGUUUGAGGAGGACGCGGGCACGCUCACCGACUACGCCAACCAGCUGCUGCGGGCCAUGCAGCGCGUCUACGGAGCCCAGAAUGAAAUGUGCUUGGCCACCCAACAGCUCUCCAAGCAGCUGCUGGCCUAUGAAAAGCAGAAUUUCGCACUUGGCAAAGGUGAUGAAGAAGUAAUUUCUACACUGCACUAUUUUUCUGAAGUGGUGGAUAAGCUUAAUGUUCUCCAUUCAGAGCUGGCUAAACAGCUGGCAGACGCCAUGGUUCUACCUGUUGUACAAUUUCGAGAAAAGGAUCUCACAGAAGUCAGCACUUUAAAGGACCUUUUCGGACUCGCCAGCAGCGAGCAUGACCUCUCCAUGGCAAAAUACAGCCGGCUCCCGAAGAAAAAGGAGAAUGAAAAGGUAAAGGCUGAAGUUGGGAAGGAAGUGGCAGCCGCGCGGCGGAAACAGCACCUGGCGUCCCUCCAGUACUACUCUGCCCUCAAUGCGCUGCAGUACCGAAAGCGGAUGGCCAUGGUGGAACCCAUGAUGGGCUUCGCCCACGGACAGAUUAACUUUUUUAAGAAGGGAGCAGAGAUGUUUUCCAAAAGCAUGGACAGCUUUUUAUCCUCCGUUGCAGACAUGGUUCAAAGCAUUCAGGUGGAACUGGAAGCUGAAGCAGAAAAGAUGCAGCUGUCCCAGCAAGAAUUACUUUCUGUCGACGAAUCCGUCUACACGCCAGACUUCGACGUGGCUGCCCCACACGUCAACAGGAACCUCAUCCAGAAGGCUGGCUACCUUAACCUUAGAAGCAAAACGGGGCUGGUCACCACCACCUGGGAGAGACUGUACUUCUUCACCCAAGGCGGGAACCUCCUGUGCCAGCCCCGGGGAGCUGUGGCCGGAGGGCUGAUCCAGGACCUGGACAACUGCUCGGUGAUGGCGGUGGACUGUGAAGACCGGCGAUACUGCUUCCAGAUCACCACUCCCAGCGGAAAACCCGGAAUAAUCCUCCAGGCAGAGAGCAGAAAAGAAAACGAAGAGUGGAUAUGUGCCAUCAACAACAUCUCCAGGCAGAUCUACCUGACGGACAACCCAGAGGCAGUGGCCAUCAAGUUGAAUCAGACGGCUCUCCAGGCUGUGACUCCAAUUACAAGUUUUGGGAAAAAACAAGAAAGCUCCUGCCCCAGCCAGAAUUUGAAAAAUCCAGAAACAGAAAAUGACAAGAUUGUUCCCAAAACCACCAUCAGCAUUCCCAAAGCAGAAGAGCUGAUUGCACCUGGGACACCUAUUCAAUUUGACAUUGUGCUUCCGGCUACAGAAUUCCUGGACCAGAACAGAGGGAGCAGGCGGAUCAACCCUUUUGGUGAAACUGAGGAUGAGUCAUUUCCGGAAGCAGAAGAUUCUCUUUUGCAACAGAUGUUUAUAGUUCGGUUUUUGGGGUCAAUGGCAGUUAAAACAGACAGCACUACUGAAGUGAUCUAUGAAGCAAUGAGACAAGUAUUAGCAGCUCGGGCUAUUCAUAACAUAUUCCGUAUGACAGAAUCUCAUCUGAUGGUCACCAGUCAAACUCUAAGGUUGAUAGAUCCUCAGACUCAGGUGUCAAGGGCCAAUUUUGAACUUACCAGUGUCACACAGUUUGCUGCUCAUCAAGAAAACAAAAGGCUAGUUGGCUUUGUCAUCCGCGUUCCUGAGUCCACAGGAGAAGAGUCUCUGAGCACAUACAUUUUUGAAAGCAACUCAGAAGGCGAAAAGAUAUGUUAUGCCAUUAAUUUGGGGAAAGAAAUUAUUGAGGUUCAGAAGGAUCCAGAAGCACUGGCUCAAUUAAUGCUGUCUAUACCACUAACCAAUGACGGAAAAUAUGUACUGUUAAAUGAUCAAUCAGAUGACAAUGAUGGAAAUCCAAGUGAAAAUAGAGGCACAGAAUCUGAAGCAUGACUCACUGGGGCCUGUGGGGGCAGCGCGCACAGGAAGGAAAGCUCCUCCUUAAGGGUUUUCAACUUCUCUGAUGUACAGGCACACUGACCUGGCUUCAGAAUGCUGACAAUCGUUUGUGGAAUGUGCCCCUUGAUGCCUUGAUACUGAGACUGGGAGGGAACAGUUAAGAAAAGGGUGACAGCCUUCCUACCCAUCUACAAAUGUUAUUUUAGGUGCCUUGUGUUCUUAAAGAUGAUCCCAGAAUUAUGACAUCAGAUAUGCAUCAACGGAAAGAUAAAUUUCAUCUAUAUUCCUGAGUGUAUCUCCACUAAUGGGAACUGGAGAGAUCAGAUAAACUAAAUGGUAAAGAAGAGGUUCUGAAUAUACUCACUAGAGGAGGAACAAUGAUAUAGAAAUUUCGGAGAUGUAUAUUCUUUGGCCUUCGAAAUUCUGGAGCAAAAACAUCUACAAGCAUUUUGAAAUAUUCUGUGCCUUCGGCAGAAUUUCGUGUAUGAUCACUGAGGACCAAAUCCAAAUGCCUAAAAAUCAAAAAAAACAAAAAGUGUGUUUCUUCUUUUAAAGAAGGUGUGGCUUUUAAAAAAUCCAUCUCCCAUUAGGUUAGAUAAAAGCACUAAUAAGUGGGAAACAUUAUAUAAUUUCUAUGUAAAUUUCCUUAGAUUUCACAAUGAAAUAAUUUUCUUAUAGAUAAAAACUGAUUAGAACCAUCUAAUUAACUUAGUCCCUAAAACAGAACAGAGCAUCCAGGGACUUAAAAUGAUAAAGGUUCUGUAUUUUUUCUCCCCACAAUGAGCCCUACAGAACAUCUCAUUAUAAAUAAAUUCUUCAUUUUAAGUCUCUUCACUAAUACGUCCUCUACAUCUCCUUACCUCAACUUCAACCUGGCCUUCUUUCAAGAACUAACCUUUUCUUUAAACCUUCAGAAAUAUUAGCUGCUUUUCCUCCUGAAAUCCUCAUGUACACUACUUUUACAUUAUUUCUCUACCAGAGGAAGGCAGAAAUUGCCCCUUUAAUCCAACUACAUGAUCCAACUACAGAUGUUCCUCAACCUACAAUGGUUUUGUAUUCUGAUAAAUUCAUAGUAAAUUGAAAAUAAAGUAAAAAAAUGCAUUUAUUACACCUAGCCAACUGGAUAUAAUAACAUAGCAAUGUAGUACACUGGAGCAUAUCAGUUGUUUCCACUUCUGAUCAUGAGGCUGACUGGGAGCUAUAACUUGCUGUCCUACUCUGUAUCUCAAAAGAGGAUCAUAGUAUAAAUUGCUAGCUCAAGAAAAAAUCCGAAUUCAAAAGUACAGGUGCAGGGGAUGUGGUUUAGUAGUAAAGUACUUGCCUCGCCCUAAGCACCAGGGCCUAGGUUUGAUCUCAGCACCACAAAAAACAUAAAUAAAAAUAAAAGUAUCAUUUCUACUGAAUACUUAUCAUUUUCCCACUAUCCUAAAGUUGAAAAUAAAGUAUAAUGGUAAGUUGAGCCAUCAAAAGUCAGGGGUCAUCUGUAUAUUCAUCUGUUGUUUUCUGAAAGCAAGUAUACCAAUUUUUUAGCCACUAUCCUAAUUUAUUAUCUAGGACUAGGGUGCCUUCCCCAGUUUUCCUCCACUGUCUAUGUGGAUAAUUUAUUCAUUACUAUGACCCCACAACUCCUUGACUUCACCUACCAUGACCUUUCCUUCACUUAAUAUUAACCUUUACACAAAUCUGAACCUUUCAGUUAGCAAUCAGCUUUACCCUAGAGAUCUUAGAAAACAAUAUCCUACUCUCUGACUUCCUUGGGCUGCUUUAAAGUAUUUUUUAAAUGGUCCCCAAUUUUGAAGAAGAUGAUGAUGUUAAACAAGAGAUAAAGGUCCAAUUUUCUUUCUUUGGUAUGCAAGCCACAAAUCAUUUUAAUCAUUUCCAUGACUUCAAAUGGCUUAAUAAAUACUUGUCUUCUGUAAUCUGGGAAAGCACUAAGCUAUCUAGUAGGAUAUUUCAGAACAAAGCUUCUGUGCUGGGGUCUUGUUUUCAUUAAAAUGUACACAUAUACAUGUAUCUUCCAGUAUAUUAUUUUUUUUUAAACAUCAAGCCCAUAAAAAAUUAUAGUAUAACAAACCUUGAACACCCUUAACUAGAUUCACCAUUUCUUCACAAUUUGCUAGUUUCCAGUUUUUCAGAAACAUUUCAAAGCUGCAGACCUCAUGUCACUUAGCAUAUAAAUACAUCAGCAUUACUCUAUUAGUACUGAAGACAUUUCCCCAAAAAGUCACAAUAGUACACCCAAGAAUAAAAUAUAACAUUAUCUAGUGUACAACACAUUUUCAAGUUCCCCAAUCAUUCCCCAAAUGUUACAUUUGGUUAUCAUGUCUCUCUAUUUUCCUAAUCUAAAACAGCCUCUUUGCCUUUUGGGUCUUUCAUGACAUCUGACAUUUUUUGAGUCUAGGCCAGGUGUUUCAUAGAACACCCUACAUUCUGGAUUUCUCAGAUCGUCUCUUCCUAAUACAUUCAGAGGAACACUUCUAGAAGAAUAUAAACCAGGUGCUGGUCAUUACAUUGCAUCAAGAGGCCACAGAAUGUCAGUUUGUCCCAUUACCAGGAUGCUAUUUUAUCACUUGGUUAAGGUAGUAGACAGCUCUCCAUUGGAGAUAGUUUUCCCCUUUGUGAUUAAUAAGCAAGUCUGUGGGAUGGUUUUUGAAAAUGAAUUCUCUAGUCUCCAAAAACUUUUCAUCCAACAUUUGUGUUAUAGUGGAGGUUGCAAAAUGUGAUAUUUUUCCCCUUAUUAAUCUCAUCUGCUCUGUGUUAGCUGGCAUUCUUUUGUUAGAAGAAAAAAACAAAAAAACUUUGUCUUGUAAUCUUUCUUAUUAUCCCUAUGACUCAGGUUUUUUUAAUUCAAUGUUUUAUGACCUAUUUCUACCAUUACUCUUUUUGACAUUCAAAUUGUCUCCACUUUGUUCAGAAUGUCCCUUCA